rnacentral:rRNA from 1 species
UCAGCCUGCCCAGUGACAAAGUUUAACGGCCGCGGUACCCUAACCGUGCGAAGGUAGCAUAAUCACUUGUUCUUUAAAUGAGGACUCGUAUCAACGGCACUACGAGGGCUAUACUGUCUCCUUUUUCCAAUCAGUGAAACUGAUCUCCCCGUGAAGAAGCGGGGAUGAAAAUAUAAGACGAGAAGACCCCAUGGAGCUUUAGACUCACCAUGCACCUCUAUGCCCUUAUAUCACUAAACAUAAGACACCUGCAUGAUAGUUUUAGGUUGGGGGGACCACGGAGUAUAAUAUAACCUCCACAACAAAUGGGCUAACACCCUUAUCCACGAGACACAACUCUAAGAAUUAUUAAACUAAUGCUUAUGACCCGAUAAUCGAUCAAUGAACCAAGUUACCCUGGGGAUAACAGCGCAAUCUACUUCAAGAGCCCAUAUCGACAAGUAGGUUUACGACCUCGAUGUUGGAUCAGGGUAUCCCGGUGGUGCAGCCGCUACUAAUGGUUCGUUUGUUCAACGAUUAAAACCCUACGUGA